rnacentral:rRNA from 1 species
AUUGAACGCUGGCGGCAGGCUUAACACAUGCAAGUCGAAUGAGUGGCGGACGGGAGAGUAAUGCUUGGGCCUCUAGCUUAUGGAGGGGGAUAACUACGGGACACUGUCGCUAAUACCGCCUACCAUAGGAUGAUCCCAAGUGGGAUUAGGUAGUUGGUGAGGUAAAGGCUCACCAAGCCGACGAUCUCUAGCUGGUCUGAGAGGAUGACCAGGCACACUGGGACUGAGAAACGGGCCAGACUCCUACGGGAGGCAGCAGUGGGGAAUAUUGCGCAAUGGGGGGAACCUGACGCAGCCAUGACGCGUGAAUGAAGAAGGCCUUCGGGUUGUAAAGUUCUUUCGGUAGCGAGGCGUUAACUACAGAAGAAGCACCGGCUAACUCCGUGCCAGCAGCCGCGGUAAUUC